AACACCUCAAAGCCUUUUAUUCUUUUUUUUGAAGAAAAAAAGGCUUUGGACUUGAGCAAUCCCAACACCAAUCUUUUUUUUAAAAAGAGUGGGGGCGGGUUGCUUGAAAUGCAGGUGCAGCUGGACAUUCUCCUGAGCUAAAAGCAUAUUCAUUUAAUCCCGUCAAACGGAUUAUUACUUUUGCUGCAGCUAACAUAAAGGGAGUUUGACCAUUUUGGCUGACUGAUGCAGGAUUUUCACAAGUGGUCUUCAAAACCCCUCUUGUUAA
rnacentral:misc_RNA from 1 species